rnacentral:rRNA from 1 species
UACGAAGGGGGCUAGCGUUGCUCGGAAUCACUGGGCGUAAAGCGUGCGCAGGCGGUUUUGUAAGUCUGUCGUGAAAUCCCCGGGCUCAACCUGGGAAUGGCGAUGGAGACUGCAAGGCUAGAGUUUGGCAGAGGGGGGUAGAAUUCCACGUGUAGCAGUGAAAUGCGCAGAUAUGUGGAGGAACACCGAUGGCGAAGGUAGCCCCCUGGGUCAAAACUGACGCUCAUGCACGAAAGCGUGGGGAGCAAACAGG